rnacentral:lncRNA from 1 species
GUGGUUCUGAAUGUUCUGAUAAGCAUCGAUGAACAUCUCUAAGUCUUCCUUCUCUCCAAAGAGGAUGUAGGACUUCAGGAGGUAUUCAUAAAACGAAUCUGAUCCUGCCCCCAAGCCACUCUGCUUUCCAACCCAAUGGCCAGUUUGAAUAUUCACAACAUUUCCUAGCAGUCCAGUGUUGUUACUCCUGAGACUCCAGAGUGCUUUGACUGCU